GGCCGGUGCAGCGCAGCCUCACGCAGCCAGUGGCGGUCACCGGUCAGUCAGUCCGUGGCCGGGUGCGGAGCGUCAGCGCAGCGUGAGCGUACCGAGUCACCAAAGGUCAGCCAGCCGGGACCGCCGGGACCGCAGUGCAGUGACAUCGCGUCCACCGUGUUGACCCAGCGUCCCGUCCACGCCACUGGAAAGGCUCUGCCAGGCUCUGCAGCGCGCCGUCAGCCACCCCAGUGCCACAACGCGUCGCAUUUGACUCCAACUCGCCAGCAUGGGGAACAGCCAGGCCAAGAACAAGGUCCCCUCCGUGGAGGUGACGCACUGCACCCUGCACGAGUACGUCGCGGCGCGCGUCAAGGACCACGGCAGCAAGGUGGCCCAGGUGGACGCGGUGACGGGCGAGACGGUGUCGUUCGACGCCGUCCUGGAGCGCGCCGCCGCCCUGGCCGCCGGGCUGACGGCUAGGGGCCUUCGCGCGGGCGAGGUGGCGCUCGUCAUCGCGGAGAACAGCGUGCACUACCCCUGGGUGCUCCUCGGCGUGCUGCAGACCGGUGCCACCGCGCACCUCAUCGACCCCCGCAGCACUCCACGCGAGGUCCAGCACGCCGUGUCCAUCUCGCUGCCGACGGUGGCGCUGGUGUCCAAGGCCGUGUCCAACCAGCCCGGCGUGGCCGCCGUCCUGAAGGGCUCGUCGAGCGUGAGCAGCGUGCUGGUGUGGGGCAGCGUGGACGGCCAGGACGCCAAGGCCAAGGACCUCCCCACCGGCAUCGCCCCCUUGGAGCAGAUGCUCGUCAGCCCCGCCAAGUCGGCGUCGUCCGUGCCCUGUUCGCCGAGCGGCGCUGCCUCCGCCCCGGACGCGGCUGACGCGACGACCCCCACGGGGCCGACGUGCGUCCCCGACGUGCAGGUGCUGUCCGUGAUGGACGUGGCGCCCGGCCGCGGUGUGGCCGUGACCCCCAACGCGCCGCCACCGACGCCCACCUCGCUGGGCGCUGUCUACGGUGACAGCUCGCCGUCGUCCGGGACUUCCCCGAUGCAGAAGUUCCUGGUGCACGCCGUGGACGGGCUCCCCCAGCCGCAGGGCGGGUCGGCCGUCGCCUUGCUGCUGCCCUCGAGCGGCUCCACGGGCAUGCCCAAGGGGGUCAUGAUCACCCACGACAACCUGCUGGCCGCCCUGAGCCUCGGGGACAAGUUCAUCCAGCCAGACGACGUGGUCGGCGGCGUGUCGCCCUACUUCCACGCCUUCGGCGGCCUGCUCAUGCUGAUGGCUCUGUGCGCCGGUGUCCCCGUGGUGGCGCUCGGCCGCUUCACCAUGGCGGGACUGCUGGACGCCGUGGAGAAGCACAAAAUCACGGUGCUGCACGUGGUGUCCUCGCUACUCGUCUCGUUCAGCAAGCACCCCGUUGACGAGCUGGCCAAGCUCAAGACUCUGCAGCGCCUCUGGUCCGGGCGGCGCAGAUCUCGCCGCUGGUGCAGAGUGCUCUCCAGACGCGCCUGCCCCACGUCAAGUUGUUCCACUCGUACGGCAUGACGGAGACCACCUUCACCACGUUCUGCGGCGAGGUGCGCGCCGACAAGCCCGGCUCUCCGGGGACGCUGGUCAGCACCAUGGAGUGCAAGGUCGUGGACACAGAUACUGGCAAGACGCUGCCCAUGGGAUCGCGCGGUGAGCUAUGCUUCAAAGGGUCCAUGGUGAUGAGGGGUUAUCUUAACAACGCGGACGCCACCUCGGAGGCCUUCGACGCCGAGGGCUGGCUGCGGU